rnacentral:rRNA from 1 species
UACGAAGGGGGCUAGCGUUGUUCGGAAUCACUGGGCGUAAAGCGUGCGUAGGUGGUUUGUUAAGUCUGAUGUGAAAGCCCUGGGCUCAACCUGGGAACUGCAUUGGAAACUGGCUGACUAGAGUGCGGUAGAGGGGUGUGGAAUUCCCGGUGUAGCAGUGAAAUGCGUAGAUAUCGGGAGGAACAUCUGUGGCGAAGGCGACACCCUGGACCAGCACUGACACUGAGGCACGAAAGCGUGGGGAGCAAACAGG